UUACGGCCAUAUCACCUUGAAACACCGGUUCCAGUACGAUAACCGAAGUUAAGCAACGCUGAGCCUGGUCAGUACCUAGAUGGGUGACCGCCUAGGAAUACCAAGUGC